rnacentral:rRNA from 1 species
CGUAGGUAACCUGCCUUGUAGCGGGGGAGUAACUAUUGGAGACGAUAGCUAAUACCGCAUAACAAUGGAUGACACAUGUCAUUUAUUUGAAAGGGGGCAAUUGCUCCACUACAAGAUGGACCUGCGUUGUAUUAGCUAGUAGGUGAGGUAACGGCUCACCUAGGCGACGAUACAUAGCCGACCUGAGAGGGUGAUCGGCCACACUGGGACUGAGACACGGCCCAG